rnacentral:rRNA from 1 species
AUGGAGGAGAAGGAGGGGACCUUCGAGAGGAACACCAAGCCGAGGCUAGACGACCAUCCCGGGGCGAUGUCGGCCAGCCUGCUCACCGACGACCUCAUCCUGGAGAUCCUCUCCCGCCUCCCCGCCAGAUCCCUCAACCAAUUCAAGUGCGUCUCCGUGCCCUGGCGCGACCUCAUCACCGACCCCACCAACCGCAGGAAGCUGCCCCAGGCCCUCGCCGGCUUCCUCUACAUGGCCGUCAGCAACAAUCGUCGGAUCCACCACCACUUCGCCAGCGUCUACGGUGCCGUGGCCCCGUUCGACCCUGCACUCCAUUACCUGCGCCCUAACAAGGACGAGGGCAUAACCCAGGUGGACGCCUGCAAUGGCCUCCUUCUCUACCGCCGCUACAAGAAGAACAAGGCGACCCCUUGGAUAGAGGACGCUUGCCAUUUUGUGGUGUGCAAUCCCGCCACCGGGAGGUGGGUGGAGCUGCCCCAUCCACCUCAACCACAGGAGCCAGCCAACAGCCGUAACCAUACCACAGGCCUGGCUUUCGAUCCAGUGGUCUCGUCUCAUUUCCACGUUCUUUGUUUCGAGUACAACUUUCCAGGAGCUUACAUCAAGGGAGUGAACAUCUACUCGUCGAGGGCAGGAGCUUGGAGUCGCAGGGAUAGUGGGAUGGUCGAAAAAGUUAUCCUGUGUAGUAAAUGUGUCUAUGUCGGUGGUAUGCCAUACGUUAUAGGCAACCUGAAGCACAUCAACGGCGAGUAUGUGCUGGUCGGUGUGGACAUGGAGGGGAAAGUGUGGAAAACUAUCCGCGUGCCGUAUGGUCGAAGCUUUGGUACGAUUGGGGUGUCGCAGGGGUGCCUACACUAUGCUAUAGCUUCUGUCGAUGAUAACAAUAAAAUCCUGGUUUCUGAGAUAGCGCUCUGGUGCCUCAAAGAUCAUGACAGUAAAGAAUUGGUCCUGAAGCACACUGCCAGCCUCGAUAAGCUUAUGAGCAUGACGGGGCUGGUGUACCAGGUGGCUGAGAUUCAUCCAGAUUGCGACACCAUUUUCCUGGUUCAGCUUGGAGGUGAUACCUUGGUAUCAUAUGAUAUGCGGCAUCAGAAAGUUGGUUGUAUCCUUAAUCUUAAGAAACACAGUAUACACAAAUUUCUACCUUAUGUUCCUCUGUUCUCAGAGUCAUUAGCAGGUGCUGAUGGGCACUAA